UGAAACAAAAUUUAAAAAAAG
rnacentral:piRNA from 1 species